rnacentral:rRNA from 1 species
UACAGAGGGUGCGAGCGUUAAUCGGAAUUACUGGGCGUAAAGCGCAAGUAGGUGGCGACGUAAGUCGGGUGUGAAAGCCCCGGGCUCAACCUGGGAAUUGCAUUCGAGACUGCAUUGCUGGAGUACGGAAGAGGAGGGCGGAAUUCCCGGUGUAGCGGUGAAAUGCGUAGAUAUCGGGAGGAACAUCAGGGGCGAAGGCGGCCCUCUGGUCCAGUACUGACACUCAAGUGCGAAAGCGUGGGGAGCAAAUAGG